rnacentral:rRNA from 1 species
GCAUUAUACCGCGAAACUGCGAAUGGCUCAUUAUAUAAGUUAUCGUUUAUUUGAUAGCACAUUACUACUUGGAUAACCGUGGUAAUUCUAGAGCUAAUACAUGCUAAAAAUCCCGACUUCGGAAGGGAUGUAUUUAUUAGAUUAAAAGCCAACGCCCUUCGGGGCUCUGUGGUGAUUCAUGAUAACUGGUCGAAUCGCAUGGCCUUGCGCCGGCGAUGGUUCAUUCAAAUUUCUUCCCUAUCAACUUUCGAUGCGAGGGUCUUGUCCUCGCAUGGUUGCAACGGGUAACGGAGGGUUAGGGCUCGACCCCGGAGAAGGAGCCUGAGAAACGGCUACUACAUCCAAGGAAGGCAGCAGGCGCGCAAAUUACCCAAUCCCGACACGGGGAGGUAGUGACAAUAAAUACUGAUACAGGGCUCUUUUGGGUCUUGUAAUCGGAAUGAGUACAAUUUAAAUCCCUUAACGAGGAACAAUUGGAGGGCAAGUCUGGUGCCAGCAGCCGCGGUAAUUCCAGCUCCAAUAGCGUAUAUUAAAGUUGUUGUGGUUAAAAAGCUCGUAGUCGAACCUUGGGCCUGGCCGGCCGGUCCCCCUCACCGGGUGCACUGAUCCGGCCGGGCCUUUCCCUCUGUGGAACCCCAUGGCCUUCACUGGCUGUGCGGGGGAAACAGGACUUUUACUGUGAAAAAAUUAGAGUGCUCCAGGCAGGCCUAUGCUCGAAUACAUUAGCAUGGAAUAAUAGAAUAGGACGCGUGGUUCUAUUUUGUUGGUUUCUAGGACCGCCGUAAUGAUUAAUAGGGACAGUCGGGGGCAUCAGUAUUCGAUUGUCAGAGGUGAAAUUCUUGGAUCUAUCGAAGACUAACUACUGCGAAAGCAUUUGCCAAGGAUGUUUUCAUUGAUAAGGAACGAAAGUUAGGGGAUCGAAGACGAUCAGAUACCGUCGUAGUCUUAACUAUAAACUAUGCCGACUAGGGAUCGGACGAUGUUAUUUCUUGACGCGUUCGGCACCUUUCGAGAAAUCAAAGUGCU